rnacentral:rRNA from 1 species
ACGGUGCUGAAGCAACAAAUGCCCUGCUUCCAGGAAAAGCCUCUAAGCAUCAGGUAACAUCAAAUCGUACCCCAAACCGACACAGGUGGUCAGGUAGAGAAUACCAAGGCGCUUGAGAGAACUCGGGUGAAGGAACUAGGCAAAAUGGUGCCGUAACUUCGGGAGAAGGCACGCUGACACGUAGGUGAAGUGGUUUACUCAUGGAGCUGAAGUCAGUCGAAGAUACCAGCUGGCUGCAACUGUUUAUUAAAAACACAGCACUGUGCAAACACGAAAGUGGACGUAUACGGUGUGACGCCUGCCCGGUGCCGGAAGGUUAAUUGAUGGGGUCAGCGCAAGCGAAGCUCCUGAUCGAAGCCCCGGUAAACGGCGGCCGUAACUAUAACGGUCCUAAGGUAGCGAAAUUCCUUGUCGGGUAAGUUCCGACCUGCACGAAUGGCGUAAUGAUGGCCAGGCUGUCUCCACCCGAGACUCAGUGAAAUUGAACUCGCUGUGAAGAUGCAGUGUACCCGCGGCAAGACGGAAAGACCCCGUGAACCUUUACUAUAGCUUGACACUGAACAUUGAGCCUUGAUGUGUAGGAUAGGUGGGAGGCUUUGAAGCGUGGACGCCAGUCUGCGUGGAGCCGACCUUGAAAUACCACCCUUUAAUGUUUGAUGUUCUAACGUGGACCCGUGAUCCGGGUUGCGGACAGUGUCUGGUGGGUAGUUUGACUGGGGCGGUCUCCUCCUAAAGAGUAACGGAGGAGCACGAAGGUUGGCUAAUCCUGGUCGGACAUCAGGAGGUUAGUGCAAUGGCAUAAGCCAGCUUGACUGCGAGCGUGACGGCGCGAGCAGGUGCGAAAGCAGGUCAUAGUGAUCCGGUGGUUCUGAAUGGAAGGGCCAUCGCUCAACGGAUAAAAGGUACUCCGGGGAUAACAGGCUGAUACCGCCCAAGAGUUCAUAUCGACGGCGGUGUUUGGCACCUCGAUGUCGGCUCAUCACAUCCUGGGGCUGAAGUAGGUCCCAAGGGUAUGGCUGUUCGCCAUUUAAAGUGGUACGCGAGCUGGGUUUAGAACGUCGUGAGACAGUUCGGUCCCUAUCUGCCGUGGGCGCUGGAAGAUUGAGGGGGGCUGCUCCUAGUACGAGAGGACCGGAGUGGACGCAUCACUGGUGUUCGGGUUGUCAUGCCAAUGGCACUGCCCGGUAGCUAAAUGCGGAAGAGAUAAGUGCUGAAAGCAUCUAAGCACGAAACUUGCCCCGAGAUGAGUCUUCCCUGAGACUUUAAGUCUCCUGAAGGAACGUUAAAGACGAUGACGUUGAUAGGCCGGGUGUGUAAGCGCAGCGAUGCGUUGAGCUAACCGGUACUAAUGAACCGUGAGGCUUAACC